AGGAGUGGGGAGUGGGGACCAGGCUUGGAGACCCGGGUGAGGCUCCCGCUGUGCAGACUGAAGACACCAAGGUGAGGAGCUUGGACUCAAAGCAGAAGCAGUGGGAAAUUAUGGAAAAGGAUCUCUUUUUUUCCAUAGGAAAAAUCUCCCAGCAGUGAGCAGAGUGGAAUCAAAGGCAGGAGUCUUUUUUAAUAAUGUGGGUUGAGGAGAGGAAGGAGGCCUGAACAGGACAGGGUCGUGGGAAUGGAGGAUGGAGAAUAAAGAGACUGCAGAGAAGAGACUCCCUCCGCUCACAAAUUGGAUACAGAUGAGAGCGGAGAGUGGGGGUUUGACCGUUUCUUCCUGAGAAUGAAAACACUGAGCUAGGAAGGUGCACAGGCGGAGAGGACGCCGAGCGUGGCUUUGAUGAUACCCGAGUCACUGACCGUGGAGCAGCAGCAGUGGCAAAUUCAACACAGACUGCAACUGAAGACCCAGCCAAGAAGAGCUCAGGCUCCUCUGUGUGAUUGCACACGGAGGCCGAGGGGCUGCAGGACACCAAGGAAUCAAACCAGGACCUUGUGCUAAGCAGGCAGACGAUAUGCCACUGAGCUUCUUCCCUGGCCUGAUUAAUUUUGCCUGCUGUGGUGGUACACACCUGUAAUCAUAGCACUUGGGAAGCUGAGACAGGAGGAUCAUGGCCUGGCGCCCAGCUGUUCUGGGUCUUCCCCCAGAUCAAGAUGGCCGUGAAAGGGGAACCUUCUGAGUGGAUUCAGGACAUCAGGGCAGCCACCACUGCACGACACAGGACCUUCGGGAAACAGGAGGUCUGGAAGCACUUCAGAAGGUGACAGGAAUGAUGGGCUAGGUGUGUUCUAAAGAAGGGGGGCUGG